CAGCCGCCGCGGGAAUACGAAGGGGGCUAGCGUUGCUCGGAAUGACUGGGCGUAAAGGGCGCGUAGGCGGUUUAUACAGUCAGAUGUGAAAUUCCUGGGCUCAACCUGGGGACUGCAUUUGAUACGUAUGGACUUGAGUGGAGAAGAGGGUUGUGGAAUUUCCAGUGUAGAGGUGAAAUUCGUAGAUAUUGGAAAGAACACCGGUGGCGAAGGCGGCAACCUGGUCUUUAACUGACGCUGAGGCGCGAAAGCGUGGGGAGCAAACAGGAUUAGAUACCCGAGUAGUCCUUGUCUCUUAUAC
rnacentral:rRNA from 1 species